GAUGAACGCUGGCGGCGUGCCUAAUACAUGCAAGUCGAGCGAACAGACGAGGAGCUUGCUCCUCUGACGUUAGCGGCGGACGGGUGAGUAACACGUGGAUAACCUACCUAUAAGACUGGGAUAACUUCGGGAAACCGGAGCUAAUACCGGAUAACAUGUUGAACCGCAUGGUUUAACAGUGAAAGACGGUCUUGCUGUCACUUAUAGAUGGAUCCGCGCCGCAUUAGCUAGUUGGUAAGGUAACGGCUUACCAAGGCAACGAUGCGUAGCCGACCUGAGAGGGUGAUCGGCCACACUGGAACUGAGACACGGUCCAGACUCCUACGGGAGGCAGCAGUAGGGAAUCUUCCGCAAUGGGCGAAAGCCUGGCGGAGCAACGCCGCGUGAGUGAAGAAGGUCUUCGGAUCGUAAAACUCUGUUAUUAGGGAAGAACAAAUGUGUAAGUAACUAUGCACGUCUUGACGGUACCUAAUCAGAAAGCCACGGCUAACUACGUG
rnacentral:rRNA from 1 species